rnacentral:rRNA from 1 species
GAUGAACGCUGGCGGCGUGCCUAAUACAUGCAAGUCGAGCGAACAGACGAGGAGCUUGCUCCUCUGACGUUAGCGGCGGACGGGUGAGUAACACGUGGAUAACCUACCUAUAAGACUGGGAUAACUUCGGGAAACCGGAGCUAAUACCGGAUAAUAUAUUGAACCGCAUGGUUCAAUAGUGAAAGACGGUUUUGCUGUCACUUAUAGAUGGAUCCGCGCCGCAUUAGCUAGUUGGUAAGGUAACGGCUUACCAAGGCAACGAUGCGUAGCCGACCUGAGAGGGUGAUCGGCCACACUGGAACUGAGACACGGUCAAGACGCCUACGGGAGGCCGCAGUAGGGAAUCUUCCGCAAUGGGCGAAAGCCUGACGGAGCAACGCCGCGUGAGUGAUGAAGGUCUUCGGAGCGUAAAACUCUGUUAUUAGGGAAGAACAAAUGUGUAAGUAACUAUGCACGUCUUGACGGUACCUAAUCAGAAAGCCACGGCUAACUACGUG